rnacentral:tRNA from 1 species
GCGCCUGUAGCUCAGGGGAUAGAGCAGCGGCCUUCUAAGCCGUUGGUCGCAGGUUCGAUUCCUGCCAGGCGCGCCA